rfam:Salmo salar isolate Sally breed double haploid chromosome ssa25, whole genome shotgun sequence.
UGCAUGCACUACUGUAAUUCGCUCUGGAUAAGAGCGUCUGCUAAUUAACUAAAA